UUUAACCGUUCUCCUUCAAGUCUAAAGCUAUCUCUUCUCCUUCUCCUUCAAAAUUUCACAGAUUCUCAAGUCAAGGGUAAGAGAGAGGUGCUCUCAACUCCAAUAAGAGAAGGUUCCACUAGAGUGCCUUUGAUUUCUUGAGUUCUUGUGUGUUUUUGUCUUAGAUUUAAAAUCUCUUAUUCCAUUUGGAAUUUUUAAAACUUAUUAUUUUGUUUAGAUAGAUUUAUAAAAGUUUCAGUUGGUAUUCGACUAUUUCCAGUCAGUGGUUUACAGCUCUUGGGUGGUUUGAUCAGUUCCAGUUCUGCAUUCCAGGGUGAGAUUCGGUCAGCAUUUGCUUGGGUGUUUAGUUCGUAUUUCUGUGGAUUGCAAGGAGUUAGCUUCAAUGGAUCAGGUUUGGAAUUGUGAUUGUUUGGCCUUUCUCUUCCGCGAACAAGUUUAUUUGUAUAUGUAUGCUAAUUUAUGAAUUGAUGAUGAUUUGUGAAAGUUUUAACACUAUUUUUUUGUUGAAUAUUGGGUGUGAUUAAUUAGCUACUGAAAAUUCAAUCGAGUUGAUUAUAUUACUCCCUAUUAUAUAGGUUUGAAUUUUGUUGAUUAGUGAAGUUGAAUAUAUAUUUUCUAUAUUAUAUUAUUCAAAUGUUUAACUUGCACCAGAAAAUUGCAUUGUAGUAGAAUAUUGAGUUUUUACUUAAAUCAUCAAAGCAAGGAGCUUCGAUUGUUAACUACUCUUUAAGCCACCGUCUCUAAGUAUCAAAAUAAGAAACUAUAAGAAUCAAUUGCAUAUCAGAACAAUUUCGAAAUAAAAGAAACACGAAUUUCCCCAUGAUUUCACAUGACAAGUGCAGUAUUUAAGAGCAUAUGUAGACCAUGAUAAAAUAGUGAAAAUAGACAAAGGAUAAAGACAGGAAAUGGUCAUUUACAGUGAAUUAAUACCAUUCCAAUGGAGCUGGGAAUUGUGAGGGAGAAUUUGUGGUCAUAGUUAUAAUAUUUGGUCAAAAGAUCUGUAACAAAACUAAGUACCUUACAGUCAAUAGGAACAGAUACUAAUUUUGAUCAUAAUAAAGGGUCUUAUAAACACAUCAAUGUGGGAGAGUCCAUAAACCAAGAAAGGAAAUUUAAAAAGCCAGUUGCAAGAGAAUAACAUUUUUGAUAAUAUAUUUGAAAAGGACAAUACAUAAUUGAGAUAGUAAAUCUUCAAAUGAGAGCAAUAACACACACCUUCAAACACCUACAAUUCAGGAGUUGUUGCAACUCUCAGAGAUUGGAAAAAAAUUAUGGAUAAAGGUAAAGAGAAACAAAAAUAAAAUCCAACUUAAGCAAAUAGAAAAGCAUAUUGACAAAGAAAUUAAGCAAGAUAAUUUACUUAAUCAAUGCUAAACUCAUUAAUUAAAAUGUUAAUAAUCAUUUUUCCAAAACACAUUUUGGGAAAGCAGAGAGAUUUGAAGAAUUAGGUAAUAUAUACCUUGUUUUAAUAUUUCUAGUUUUUAUAUUUGUUCGUAUGUGCUUUACUACCAUCAGUUAUUCUAAUAUUUGUACAUAUUUUAUAAUUUACAGUGCUAUGGAGAAGAUUCUUCAAGUUGAAGCUACAAUUACAACGAGAUAUAGAUUGUAAAUAGUGUGAGAUGUUUAUGAGAAGC
rnacentral:lncRNA from 1 species